AGCUAAUUACAAUUUGAAAAAGAAAAAGUCAAUCGACGACUGCCUGUUUGCCCUGAUGAUAGUCUAUUUCCAUCUGUCAAAAAAUAAAGACAAGAAAGGAGAAGAAAGACCUGCACAACCCUGGAUUGCCAACUGGAAUAGAGAGCAGUUGGUUGAAAGGAUGAGAGCAGAAAUGGAUGGACAUAUAGGAAUCGUAAAGAUGGCAGAAACAAAAGAGAAAUUGAAACAAAUGAAGCAAAAAGAAAAGAAAGAAAAAAA